CCUCAAGGAGCUUGCGAACCAGAGGACUAGAGAAGCACUACACACGAGGAAACUCAUGCAGCAUCCAUUGUCCCAAAGAUUUAUUGAGUAAUAUGAAGGUUAAGUCUUUCAGAAGGUCAGAGGAGAACUCCCUGGCACCUGGAGAGUGGUGGAGGGAAGCCAGGCUGCACCUGAGAGCGGCAGCUCUGAUACUAAUGUGAGAUUGGCGUGCAGGCGGAAGCAGCAGCAACCGCAGACAUCUGUGAACCCUACUACGCUCCAGACACCAGCGAGUGGCCACCAGGAUGUCAUCCAGGCUUCACCACAAGCCGUUCCAGCCAACAGUGAGACUCGUGGACACACUAGGAGAGAAGAUUCCUUCCCAUCCACUCUUUCCUUCCACAUGUGGAAGCUCAGGCAGAAAGAAGUCAAGUCACUUGCUCAAGGUCCGUGAGUCUUAAUAUUUAAAUCCUGAAGACAAACUCCAAGCCCUUCGAAGCACGGCCCUUUUGAUUUUGCACCGAUUCCAGCAGCCAGUGAAAAACUUGUCCUUCACUAGAUGCGUUAGAGCUUCACUGAGGGCACAGGUUGAAAAGUCUAGUUUAAUAAACACAGGCAUUAGCAGUA